UUAGUAAAAAACGAAUAACAAAAUAUAACCUAGAAUAUCACACUCAAUAUCUCAUAGUGUCUAAUAAGAAAUUUAUUUAAAUUUAUUUAAAUAUAGUGUUUUUUUUCAGUAUUGUUUUGUACCAAGAUACUUUUUAGACAUCUGUUUCUAAGUAAGUUAUUUUUUCUAAACUCCGACUAUAUGUUUUUGUAAAUCCGUGGUUCAAAUGACCCACUUCUAGUUCAAAUGUUCGUAAAUAGUUUCUGAGGAAUAGGGAAAAACAAAAAACAACUUACAAAACAUGUAGUUUUUAGUAUUUACAAAACACUACUCCCGGGUUAUAUAAGAAGAAAAAUAUAGUAGGUCCCUACUAGUAUUCCAGUUACUUCCAAAGGCAAACGACAGUCAUUUAUCAUAUAUUGUAAAAAUGCGUUUCUUGUACAUUGUCAUGUUGCUUGUCGGAAUUCUAACAAAGUUGUCAGUGGCACCUAGGUCAGAUGAAGAGAAAAGAUAUCCACUACCAACACCACCAGCGGGUAAGUUAUUUUCAUUGUUUUACUAAAAAAAAAGCAAAAAAAUUUUUCCAAAGCAUACACUUGAGUAAUUUGAAAGAAUAUUGUUUUUGAACG